UACGGGAGGCAGCGGUGAGGAAUAUUGGUCAAUGGGCGCGAGCCUGAACCAGCCAAGUAGCGUGCAGGAUGACGGCCCUAUGGGUUGUAAACUGCUUUUAUGCGGGGAUAAAGUCGGCUACGUGUAGCCGUUUGUAGGUACCGCAUGAAUAAGGACCGGCUAAUUCCGUGCCAGCAGCCGCGGUAAU
rnacentral:rRNA from 1 species